UACGUAGGGUGCAAGCGUUGUCCGGAAUUAUUGGGCGUAAAGAGCUCGUAGGCGGUCUGUCGCGUCGGCUGUGAAAACCCGGAGCUCAACUCCGGGCCUGCAGUCGAUACGGGCAAACUGGAGUGUUGCAGGGGAGACUGGAAUUCCUGGUGUAGCGGUGAAAUGCGCAGAUAUCAGGAGGAACGCCGGUGGCGAAGGCGGGUCUCUGGGCCGAUACUGACGCUGAGGAGCGAAAGCGUGGGGAGCAAACAGG
rnacentral:rRNA from 1 species